rnacentral:rRNA from 1 species
GCGUAACGCGUAUGCAAUCUACCUUUUACAGAGGGAUAGCCCAGAGAAAUUUGGAUUAAUACCUCAUAGCAUUGCAGGAUGGCAUGAUUCCACUAUUAAAGUCACAACGGUAAAAGAUGAGCAUGCGUCCCAUUAGCUAGUUGGUAAGGUAACGGCUUACCAAGGCUACGAUGGGUAGGGGUCCUGAGAGGGAGAUCCCCCACACUGGUACUGAGACACGGACCAGACUCCUACGGGAGGCAGCAGUGAGGAAUAUUGGACAAUGGGCGCAAGCCUGAUCCAGCCAUGCCGCGUGCAGGAUGACGGUCCUAUGGAUUGUAAACUGCUUUUAUACGAGAAGAAACACUACUUCGUGAAGUAGCUUGACGGUAUCGUAAGAAUAAGGAUCGGCUAACUCCGUGCCAGCAGCCGCGGUAAUACGGAGGAUCCAAGCGUUAUCCGGAAUCAUUGGGUUUAAAGGGUCCGUAGGCGGUUUAAUAAGUCAGUGGUGAAAGCCCAUCGCUCAACGGUGGAACGGCCAUUGAUACUGUUAAACUUGAAUUAUUAGGAAGUAACUAGAAUAUGUAGUGUAGCGGUGAAAUGCUUAGAGAUUACAUGGAAUACCAAUUGCGAAGGCAGGUUACUACUAAUUGAUUGACGCUGA